GGGGCUAUCGUCUAGCAUGGACUAGGAUACCAGCCUGGGGCGCUGGCGGUCGUGGGUUCAAAUCCCACUGGCCCCA
rnacentral:tRNA from 1 species